UACAGAGGGUGCAAGCGUUGUUCGGAAUCACUGGGCGUAAAGGGCGCGUAGGUUGUGAAGUGUGUCUGGUGUGAAAUUCCUCAGCUUAACUGGGGAACUGCAUUGGAAACUGCUUCGCUAGAAUGCAAGAGGGGAUGGUGGAAUUCCCGGUGUAGAGGUGAAAUUCGUAGAUACCGGGAGGAACAUCUGGGGCGAAGGCGACCAUCUGGCUUGACAUUGACGCUGAGGCGCGAAAGCGUGGGUAGCAAACAGG
rnacentral:rRNA from 1 species